rnacentral:rRNA from 1 species
GACGAACGCUGGCGGCGUGCUUAACACAUGCAAGUCGAACGGAAAGACCCUGCUUUUGUGGGGUGCUCGAGUGGCGAACGGGUGAGUAACACGUGAGUAACCUGCCCUUGACUUUGGGAUAACUUCAGGAAACUGGGGCUAAUACCGGAUAGGAGCUCCUGCUGCAUGGUGGGGGUUGGAAAGUUUCGGCGGUUGAGGAUGGACUCGCGGCUUAUCAGCUUGUUGGUGGGGUAGUGGCUUACCAAGGCUUUGACGGGUAGCCGGCCUGAGAGGGUGACCGGCCACAUUGGGACUGAGAUACGGCCCAGACUCCUACGGGAGGCAGCAGUGGGGAAUAUUGCACAAUGGGCGGAAGCCUGAUGCAGCAACGCCGCGUGCGGGAUGACGGCCUUCGGGUUGUAAACCGCUUUCGCCUGUGACGAAGCGUGAGUGACGGUAAUGGGUAAAGAAGCACCGGCUAACUACGUG